rnacentral:tmRNA from 1 species
GGGGUCGUUUGGUUUUGACAUCUUGUGUGUGGAUUUGUAAGCAUGUCGGAGGUUGUGAGACGGUUCCGUUAAAAACUAACUCUCGUAGCCAAUAAAUGGCAAUAAUAACUAUGCUUUCGCGGCAUAACCGCGAAGGUUCCCGAAGCAUGGACAAGGUCCAUAGCGGCGGGUGUCUCCCCAGAAGCUACGCCGGUUGGCGUUUGGUAAGAGGCAUCAUAAAAGACCGGAUAGCGUGUGCAGGGCUUCGAUGCACGGGCGAAAUGAAAGAAGAUAAGUACAAGGUUGGUUGGUCUCGUACCGGCCUCGUGCCGACAAUCAAACGUUAGACUAAACAUGUAGAAAGCAUCUUUGCAGCAGGUUUGGACGCGGGUUCGACUCCCGCCGACUCCACAA